rnacentral:rRNA from 1 species
UGGUUAAAUAGAAUCAAGAGCAAAUGGUGGAUGCCUAGACAUCAAAAGACGAUGAAGGACGUAGCAGCCUGCGAAAAGCCUCGGUUAGGUGGCAAGCAACCUUAGACCCGGGGAUUUCCGAAUGGGGAAACCCAUCUUAGUGGAAGACUAAGAUAUUAUGCACUGAAUACAUAGGUGUAUAAAGAUAACCUGGCGAAGUGAAACAUCUCAGUAGCCAGAGGAAAAGAAAAUAAAGCGCAACUAAUAACUCAUGGUAAUUAACCAAUUCAUUUAUGAAUGUUAAGAGCUAUAAGUUAUUAGCUGCUUAUUCCCUGAGUAGUGGCGAGCGAAAGGGGAUUAGCUCAAAUUCUGUAGACUAUGUCUUAUUAAGUUCUUCUUGCAAGAAACUUAAUGGACUUUUAAGGGUACAAGCCCGUAAUGUGUGCAGGAGGUUGUAAGAUAAUUACUUUUUCAAUUCUUGUAGAUUGGAGUAGAGUCAUAAAAUAUUUCUUCCCUAACAAAAUCCGUUGGAAAGCGGAGCCAAAGAAGGUGAUAGCCCUGUACGUAAAAGGGGUAAUAACUCUGCAGUUUUUAUCUUGAGUACCACGGGUCCCGUGAAACCCUGUGGGAAGUCGCCGCGACUAUGCGGUAAAGCUAAAUACUUUUGAUGAUCAAUAGUGAACAAGUACCGUGAGGGAAAGGUGAAAAGCAUCCCGGUAAGGGAGAUGAAAUAGUAUCUGAAACCAUUUGCUUACAAAGAGUCGGAGCCCAAUACUUUGUGCGUUCUUUAGCAUAAAAUUUUUAGGGUAAUGAUGAGAAAAAAAGUCUCGGAUCAGGUCAGUAAUGGCCAGGCGGAUCCGGAUACCGGAAUCAUCCUCGCAAGAGGCAGUGUGUCGGCUACGGCACUGUAAAAAAUCAAAGGGUCAUUCUCAUCAUUACCCGACCCUUAAUAAAGAACGUAGAAAGUAUUGGGUGACGGCGUGCCUAUUGAAGAAUGAGCCAACGAGUUUGUGAAUGCUGCUUAGCUUAAGUUCGAACAGAACGAAAGCGCAGUGAAAGCAAGGGUUAACCCCCGUUUUUCACUUAUUGAUUAUGACAGGAUUUAUCUUGUCCUAAUCAAUUUGUGAAUAUGUAGUAUUUACAAGACCCGAAACCAGGUGAUCUAGCCAUGGCCAGGUUGAACCAACUGUAACAGGUUGGGGAGGACCGAACCCACCCGCUGUGCAAAACGGGGGGAUGAGCUGUGGUUAGUGGUGAAAUGCUAAUCGAACCUGGUAAUAGCUGGUUCUCCUCGAAAUAGCCUUAGAGCUAGCCUUAAGAAGUAACUGUGGGGGUAGAGCACUGAAUGGGGAUAGGUGGCGUAAGCCUACUGUCUUCAACCAAACUCCGAAUACCACAGCGGAAUUCUUAGGAGUCAGACUAUGGGGGCUAAGCUCCAUCAGUCUAAAGGGAAACAGCCCAGAUCACAAGUUAAGGUCCCUAAAUCUAUGUUAAGUGUAAAAGGUGGUGAUUUGACUUAAACAACUAGGAGGUUGGCUUAGAAGCAGCCAUCCUUUAAAGAAAGCGUAACAGCUCACUGGUCAAGUUGGAUUGCGCCGAAAAUGUACCGGGGCUAAACAUAGUACCGAAACUGUGACUUUAUCCGCGCCUCACUGCGUUCGGCACGGAAUUUCGAAUUUUUAAUUUCUAAUUUCGAAUAAAUUUCGAAUGACUGAAUUUUUAAAGUACUUAAAAUUCAAAAUUAAAAAUUUAAAAUUUCCACAGCUGAGCAUAGCGAAGCGUGGAUAAGGGGUAGAGGAGCGUUUCUUAAGCGUCGAAGGUGAGUCGUAAGGCUUGCUGGAGUUUAAGGAAGUGAGAAUGUUGGCAUAAGUAGCAAAAAAGCGGGUGCGAAUCCCGCUCACCGUAAACCUAAGGUUUCCUGGGCAACGCGAAUCGACCCAGGGUUAGUCGGGCCUAAGGCGAGGCCGAAAGGCGUAGUCGAUGGAUGAGCAGGUCAAUAUUCCUGCACUAUCUAAUAACAAACCAAUAAUUGACGCAUUUUGAAUGUUCAAGCGUUCUAUGGUAUGGACGUCGUUGUCUCCGCAAGGAGUUGACGGAAGAUGAAGGUUCGCCGGAUUCAAUUUGAGUUGAAGGAGUGCCUAGAAAAGCUUAUUGGCAUGGUUACUAGAUAUCCGUACCGUAAACCGACACAGGUAGGUGGGCAUAAGUGUGCCAAGGUGUACGAGAGAAUGCUCGUUAAGGAACUCGGCAAAACAGCGUCCGUAAGUUCGCAAUAAGGGCUGCCUUGCUUCGGCAAGGCCGCAGCUAAAGAUCUCAAGCGACUGUUUACCAAAAACAUAGGUCCCUGCGAAAGCGCAAGCUGAUGUAUAGGGGCUGAUGCCUGGCCAGUGUCAGAACGUUAAGGGGAUGGGUGAACCCGUAUUUAUAUGGGGGCAGCCUUGAUCUGAAGCGCUGAUGAACGCCGGCGGUAACUAUAACCGUCCUAAGGUAGCGAAAUUCCUUGUCGUGUAAGUUACGACCUGCACGAAUGGCAUAACGACUUGAGAACUGUCUCAACGAGCAACUCGGCGAAAUUGCAAUUCCAGUAAAGAUGCUGGAUACCCAUAGUUGGACGAAAAGACCCCGUGAAGCUUUACUACAACUUGAUAUUGAAUUAUUAUUUCACCUGUUCAGCAUAGGUGGGAGCCUUCGGGCGCCAGUGAGAUACCACCCUUGUGUUGUGAUAAUUCUAAUCUAUCUCCCUGAACCGGGAGAGGAGACAGUAUCUGGUGGGUAGUUUGACUGGGGCGGUCGCCUCCCAAAAGGUAACGGAGGCGUUUACAAAGGUUGGCUAGGUUCGGAUGGAAAUCGAAUCGAUAGUGUAAAGGCACAAGCCAGCUUUACUGCAAGACCUACAAGUCGAGCAGUUACGAAAGUAUAACUUAGUGAUCCGACCGUACGAUAUAGGACGGCGGAAGCUCAACGGAUAAAAGUUACUCCGGGGAUAACAGGCUAGUCUGGUCCAAGAGUUCACAUCGACGACCAGGUUCGGCACCUCGAUGUCGGCUCGUCGCAUCCUGGGGGUGAAGAAGCUCCCAAGGGUUUGGCUGUUCGCCAAUUAAAGCGGCACGCGAGCUGGGUUCAGAACGUCGUGAGACAGUUCGGUCUCCUAUCCACUAUGGGCGUUGAAAUUUGAAGGGGCACAUCUCUAGUACGAGAGGACCGAGAUGUACGAACCUCUAGUGUACCAGCUGUUCUACCAAGGGCAUUGCUGGGUAGCUACGUUCGGUUAGGAUAAGCGCUGAAAGCAUCUAAGUGCGAAGCCGUCCCAAAGAUUAGAUUUCAUUACAAGGUUCCCGGUAGACGACCGGGUUGAUAGGCGGUAGGUGUAAGGGCAGUAAUGUCUUAAGCCGGGCCGUACUAAUUACCAAUCUAUCUUAACCAC